UAAUAGAAACCAAAUAUUUAUGAUGCCCAAGGAAUAAUAUUGUUAGUUGGCAAAAUUGCAAAAUAUGACAUGAUGUGAGAAUGCACUGCAAGCUUUGUGACAUUUAUCAAUGAGUAUAUAUUACAGUUCACAAGCCACGUUAUGAGAAAUUAAUAAGAAGCUAAAUAAAGUAUUGAAAAGGGGAACACAAAUGAUAGGUCAAUGGAUCACAUUAUUUAUUAGAAGGCAAUAAUAGCUGCAAGCACCGUUCAGCAAAUUAACUGCAGGCAAGAUCCAUUAUGAGAAACAUUAUCAAAGGUAUACAAUCAUCCCUCAGAAAAAGUAGAUAACUUACAUUUCAAAAAGUUUACUGGGUGUCAACCAGUGCCCAGAAUUAAAUAUUA
rnacentral:misc_RNA from 1 species